UGGGACAGAAGGUGAUGUGGUAGGUGGUGGCGCCGGCGCAGGUGAAGGUGGAGCUGGCGUCGUCGUAGGCGUAGCUGUAGGCGGACGGGCAGGCGGUCUUGAAUACCCGCGAGUAGUUCGUGGGGCCGCACGCCGUCGGCGUGCCGUAGUCGCCAGUGCAGCAGUAGCGCGCGCUGCCGUAGGCGUUGCACGCGCUCUUGCAGGCCACCACCUCGCCGGAGCCGGACACCACGCGCAGGUCCGACGGGCACACAGCGUUCACGUCGCCCGCGCACGCCGCGGCGCGGCAGGCACCGCCGUCCCCAUUGUUGUCGGGCGCGAUGGAGAGGGGCAGGUUGAAGCCGUCGACGAGGCUGGCGUCGUAGAAGUCCAGGCCUCCUCCGCCCGGAGCGGCGAGGGUGACCUCGGCGAGCGUGACGGGCGGGGCGGGCCCGCGGCCGGCGCAGGCGACACCGCCGGUGCCACAGUCGGCGGUGGCGCAGGCGAGGCGGCCAGUGGAGGAGUCGACGGCGCAGCCGGUGCGGGCCCAGAAGUUGCCGGACCAGGCGCCGGAUGACGGGGC
rnacentral:lncRNA from 1 species